rnacentral:rRNA from 1 species
CCGCACCUACGGGAGGCAGCAGUGGGGAAUAUUGCACAAUGGGGGAAACCCUGAUGCAGCGACGCCGCGUGAGUGAAGAAGUAAUUCGUUACGUAAAGCUCUAUCAGCAGGGAAGAAGUGCUGACCUUACGGUCAGCAGACGGUACCUGAGUAAGAAGCCCCGGCUAACUACGUGCCAGCAGCCGCGGUAAUACGUAGGGGGCAAGCGUUAUCCGGAUUUACUGGGUGUAAAGGGAGCGUAGACGGUGCGCCAAGUCUGGAGUGAAAUGCCGCAGCUUAACUGCGGAACUGCUUUGGAAACUGGG